ACGGAAGGCAGCAGUGAGGAAUAUUGGUCAAUGGGCGGAAGCCUGAACCAGCCAAGUCGCGUGAAGGAUGAAGGUAUUAUGUAUUGUAAACUUCUUUAGACGUAGAGAAAUAAGGUGCUCGUGAGCACUGAUGCUAGUAUACGUAGAAUAAGGAUCGGCUAACUCCGUGCCAGCAGCCGCGGUAAUACGGAGGAUCCGAGCGUUAUCCGGAUUUAUUGGGUUUAAAGGGUGCGCAGGCGGCUUUCUAAGUCAGUGGUUAAAUAGCGGUGCUCAACGCCGUCCCGCCAUUGAUACUGGAGAGCUUGAUUGCGGUCGAGGUUUGCGGAAUUCGUCGUGUAGCGGUGAAAUGCAUAGAUAUGACGAAGAACACCGAUUGCGUAGGCAGCAGACCAGGCCGUAAAUGACGCUCAUGCACGAAAGUGCGGGGAUCGAACAGGAUUAGAUACCCUGGUA
rnacentral:rRNA from 1 species